UACGGAGGGUGCAAGCGUUAUCCGGAUUCACUGGGUUUAAAGGGUGCGUAGGCGGGUUGGUAAGUCAGUGGUGAAAUCUUCAAGCUUAACUUGGAACUGCCGUUGAUACUAUCAAUCUUGAAUGUUGUGGAGGUAAGCGGAAUAUGUCAUGUAGCGGUGAAAUGCUUAGAUAUGACAUAGGACACCGAUAGCGAAGGCAGCUUGACUACACAAUAAUUGACGCUGAGGCACGAAAGCGUGGGGAUCAAACAGGAGUUAAGAAA
rnacentral:rRNA from 1 species